rnacentral:lncRNA from 1 species
GAGGCCAAGACCACAGCUGUUACAGGAGGGGUCAGCGCCACAGUACAUGGGUGGCGGCGGCGGCUGCACAUGCAUGCCUGGGGAAUGUGAGUGUUCAGACAUGCCAGGCAUCCAGCCUCACCAGGAAACAGGCACACGGGGACACAGGCACAAACACUAAAAACCCUCGCUGAAUCCAUUUGGCUGAGCGGUGGCCACGGGAGCACGGGGCUGCCCUCCUCACAGACCUGCACCUGGGCCCCAGGGCAAGACGGGCGUGGGAGGUGCAGGGGUGCGGGUGUGGGCAGGGGCUGCCGGAGAGGGGCGUGGGAGGUGCAGAGGUGCGGGCGCGGGCAGGGGCUGCCGGAGACAGCCGUGAGGGGUGCGGGUGCAGGCAGGGGCUGCCGGAGACGGGCGUGGCAGGUGCAGGGGUGCGGGUGCGGGCAGGGGCUGCCGGAGACGGGCGUGGCAGGUGCAGGGGUGCGGGUGCGGGCAGGGGCUGCCGGAGACAGGCGUGGCAGGUGCAGGGGUGCGGGUGGGGGCAGGGGCUGCUGGAGACGGGCGUGGAAGGUGCACGGGUGCGGGUAGGGGCUGCCGGCUCAGAGGCGUGUCCAGGAACCCCCGUCAGGCCAGAGCCCUGCCCUGAGCGGCCUGCAGGGGUGACUGCGAGACAGCAGCGUUAGGCCCGGUCUCGGCUGUGAAGUCGCCCCCACCGCCACGCACGACCCUGGGGAUUCUGUCAAGGUGGGGGCCGUCUGCUAGGCCCGGGCUCCCUGACCACGUGGCUAGGUUUGCGGAGGAAGCCAGGAGAGUGCCAACACCAGGCUCUGUAAGCGUGAGGCUCCCUGCCGGCCCCAUCCCGGAGUUCACCCCAUCCUUCCUGCGUCCCUGGACCUCAGCUGUUCCUCAUUGACCUCAGAGACACCCUGCCCUGCCCCGGCUUCUCAGGAGCCCUGCCCACCACCGCCUCAGCUCUGGGGACACGGCCUUUCUCCCGGUGCAGAGGCGCAGCUCGCUGCCCCCAGGGCCCAUCUUCCUCCCCAGCAUGUUUUUACCUCAGCUCAUUCUCAGGAAAGAAACGAUCACAUCUCAGCG